GUACUACCGACAAGUCCCAAACUAGGACGAAACAGUUGUCCAGUAC
rnacentral:hammerhead_ribozyme from 1 species